rnacentral:lncRNA from 1 species
AUGCUGCCCCUUGGAGAAGCUGCCCCUCGGGGUGUGUGUGUGUGUGUGUGGGGAGGGUACCGUUGCCUUCGUGCUUUUCCCAUGACAGCCCUUUCCUUUCCUUCCCCCCCCCUUUUCCCCCUCCCCCAUACUAGGCAAAAUGAAGACCCUUUGGAACAGAAAUAUCUUUGCCUCGCUGCAAACAGGGAGUCCCUUGAGGGUGGCGACCCGGAGGUUGUGCAGCAAACCACCCCCCGAGGAUGGGGCGCAGUUGCCCCGGCCCGCAGCCCCAGGGCUUCGGUCAUUCACGCUGCAGCAAGCAAGCUACGUGUGUACAUUGGCUGUGCCUCUAUUGUCCUGACACUCAUUAUGUUCUUCUUUGCAGCUCGUUCUGGGAAACGGGCUAUGGAAGAGGGUCGCAGCUUGAGGGCGGUGCACUUGGAGAAAAAAGCUAAACUCUUGGAGCAGACGAUGGAGAGUAGCUCACCCAAGGUGUAAUCAAGAGGAUUAGAUCAGAAGGCACAAGAUUGACUGACUGUCAUCUUUCAAUUAUGAAUCACUUGUGGAACAAAGUUUCAUUAGCUGCUUGCUCCUGUUUUCCACCUUCCAAAAAUAAAUACAUAAAUAAUUUUUUUGUAACCUUCA